CUCAUCUCUGGAGGCCAUGGACACUGAAACGACAUCUUUAAAGCACAUAAAGCAAGAUCAAGUGGAAUUCUUUAUCUAUGGAAAUUUUUGAUCGUGAAAAACAGACAUUUACAGAAGAAGCAAACUGGAAGAACUUGUUGCCAAUGGACCUGCUCUAUAAGAAAUGCUAAAGCAAGUUCUUCAGUAUGAAGAGAAAUGAAAUCAGUAGGGAACUCAGAGCUUCAGGGACGAAUGAAGGCGACUGGAAAUGGUAAAAGAUCAAAAGCAACUAGAGAUGCAAUGCUUCAGAACGCAGAUGGCAGAAGACUUGCCAGGCAGCCAUUCACCCUUAUGUGACAGCCUCUGCUUACGCUGAAGCUUGUUUCAGUCCAGGUUCACAGACAUUCUAUCAAAAUGGCACACGUUUCUCUGUGGCUUCUGUGAAAGACCAAUGGAGGAAGUGCUAGAAAACGAGGCCAAAGCAGCACCGUGGGCAGUGGUGCAGAUUCAAGGACACACUGUGAUUGUGGAACAAAAAUGUACUUCUGAGGCCUGUCCAAUUUCACUACUAAACACUUGAAGAAAAAAAGUGGCAGCUGAGUUUUAAGAUGAAUCUGUACAUCAAUAACAGCUAUAGGAAAAGACCCCAAGACCAGAAAUGCCAGCUACCAUGGGUCUCGCCUCUCCCCCCAUGUCUUCCUAACUCCAGCUGCCCACCAAAACCCCUGAUCCGGACAAAACACACCCCUCUUUUCUACCCCAUCUCUACACUGAUCCAAGUUUCUGACCACACUUAAAGCCCAAUUUGAACUGCUACAAUUUUUUGUUCCCCAAACUCCUUGUGGCCUUUUACCCAACCUCUCCCCAGCAC